AUGAAGCAUCUCACAGGUUGGAUUUCUAAGUGGCAGAUGGCUUGCCAAUGCUGCCACCUUCUGGAUGGCAUUGUGCAUUGCACCACGCAAGGAAGAACCAAGCAGAUGAGGGCAGUGGGAAGCAUCAAAACAAGAUCAAAAGGAGAGGAGGGACCCAACCUGGCGCAUCUCCUCCGUCAGUGCCAUUCCUAGGAGGACGCUAGCUCUGUCCAUAAAUGAAGGUCACAUCUUCCAUCGAAGGCCUUUUACUAAAUCAUCUUGUUCUCUAGAAAAGCGAUAAACUUCCUACUUCUGUCAUUAAGAGCCUGAGCCAUAUGUGGAUAACAGUCCCACUGGAAUGAGAAAUGCCCGAUACGCUCAUGAAUCAGAAGGCGUGCUCCCUAGCUGAUGCUAACCCCACACAAGCUAGAGUCAUCAGAGAGGAGGAGACCCUGACUGAGAAAAUGCCUUCAUGAGGUCUGGCUAUAAGCAAGUUUGUGGAGAAUUUUCUUAAUUAGUGAUUAAUGGCGGAGGGCCCAGCCUAUUAUGGGUUCUGUGAGAAAGCAGGCUGAACAAGCCAGUAAGCAGCACCCCUCCAUGGCCUCUGUAUCAGCUCCUGCCUCCAGGUUCCUGCCCUGUUUGAGUUCUUGGCCUCACUCACUGUUUUUGAUUUAAAAAAAUAUAUAUCUAUUCAUUUACCUUAUGUAUACGAGUACACUGUAGCUGUUUUCAGACACACCAUAAGAGGGCAUCAGAUCCUAUUACAAAUGGUUGUGAGCCACCAUGUGGUUGCAUGGGGUUGAUCUCAGAACCUCUGGAAGAGCAGUCAGUACUGUUAACCGCUGAACUAUCUCUCCAGCCCCUGAAACUUCUUUUUCAAUCAUUAUUUUAUGUAUGAAUGUUUUGCCCACGCCUGAGGAGACUAGAGGGGGAUGCUGGAUUCCCUGCAAAUGAAGAUACAGAUGGUAGUCAACUGCCACGUGGAUGCUAGGAAUUGAGCAUAGGUCCUCCAGGAGAGCAGCCAGUGCUGGUCACUGCUGAGCCAUCUCUCCAGCCCCACCUCUUCCUUUAAUUUUUUUUUUUUUUUGACUGUAUGACUGGAGAGGAUUUUAUGGUACCUGCACAUCUCAUUUUCUUUAUUGUUACUGUUAUUGUUCUGUUGUUAACAAUGAUUCAAUGAGGUCUGGUGAGAUGGCUCAGCGGGUAAGAACACUCACUGACUGCUCUUCUGAAGGUCCUGAGUUCAAAUCCCAGCAACCACAUGGUGGCUCACAACCAUGCUUAAUGAGAUGUGAUGCCCUCUUCUGGUGCAUCUGAAGACAGCUACAGUGUAGUUAUGUACAAUAAUAAAUAAAUCUUUGGGCCGGCA
rnacentral:lncRNA from 1 species